GUGCGAUCUAGCGUAUAUAAACCGCAGCCACAUUCUAGGUGGAUACAGUCUGUAGCCUGACCAAGCCCAUACUUCGGGUCAGCCUUCUCGAGUGCUUGUACUCUUUCAGUCUCUCCCGACGCAACCACAAAAAAGGGAAAGAUGCUGCGUAACCUGUUGGUGAGCGCCUCGCGUUCUCUGGUGCCCAUGAGCAGGCAGAGCCGUCUGGUGGCUACUCAGGCUGCCGCAGCCGUUCAGCAGCACCCAAAACCCGUGGCGACUGUGGACGGUGAUCUGGUGUCGCUACACCUGCCCUCUGGGGAGCACCACAAGCUCCCCACCAUGUGG